UACGGAGGAUGCAAGCGUUAUCCGGAUUCAUUGGGUUUAAAGGGUGCGCAGGCGGACUAUUAAGUCAGAGGUGAAAUGCUACGGCUCAACCGUGGAACUGCCUUUGAUACUGCUAGUCUUGAGUUUAAUUGAAGUGGGCGGAAUGUAGCAUGUAGCGGUGAAAUGCAUAGAGAUGCUACAGAACACCGAUAGCGAAGGCAGCUCACUAAGUUACAACUGACGCUCAUGCACGAAAGCGUGGGGAUCAAACAGG
rnacentral:rRNA from 2 species